rnacentral:lncRNA from 1 species
AUGUAUAAAUUUUAUGAAAUAAAAGCACAUACUUAUCUAAAAACAAAUUUAUUUUAUUUUACAAAAUUUACAAAAAGUACAUCUCAAGUAUAUUUUGAAAUAUUAUAUAGAAUGAGUAGAGAAUGAAAGAGCAUAUCUAUUGGAGAAUACACAGGAAUACUGAGAACAAAUAGAGAAGCAGGGAUCUAUAUAAAGAUGAACAACUCUAGGAACUCGUUCACUAAACCCCUAACAAAACAAAAAAAACCUGAUAUACUUGAAAAUUAAGUCAGACUGGUGAUCAAACUCAAAUUUAACAAACCACCAGGUCCAACAAUUAAAAUACUUUGAAGAUGCUAUAAGACCAGAUACAGAAAACAUGGAAACACUCAUAAAGAAACGUAACUAGAAAGCAAUAGAAAAUUUUAAAGAUUUGUUUACGAAAACUAAAGAUUGGUUCCCACAUAAAAAUUUGUGUUACAA